AGGCAGUGAUGACAAACAAAUUCAUUUCUCGAAUCUGAAUACUGUACUGUGUUAAUUCACAGGCGGACCUCCGGAUUUACUUUGAUUUGAUGACUUCGUUUGUGCGUGUCUGAGCCUU
rnacentral:snoRNA from 1 species